rnacentral:rRNA from 1 species
GACGAAGGAUGCAAGCGUUAUCCGGAUUCAUUGGGUUUAAAGGGAGCGUAGGUGGCCUUAUAAGUCAGUGGUGAAAUCUCGCAGCUUAACUGCGAAAUUGCCAUUGAUACUGUAGGGCUUGAGUACAGUUGCCGUUGGCGGAAUAUGACAUGUAGUGGUGAAAUACAUAGAGAUGUCAUAGAACACCGAUUGCGAAGGCAGCUAACGAAACUGUAACUGACACUGAGGCUCGAAAGUGCGGGGAUCAAAACAGG